rnacentral:lncRNA from 1 species
UCCUAUGGGUGGACUCAAAUUCCCUGCAGCUUGAGCAGUUAGAAUUAGAGCCGUAGAGCCAGGAUUUCAGCAUAGAAGUGAGCUUUCACCCUGUUAGCCAUGUCUGCAACCCUAGGAAAAAUAUACCCCCCCUCCCAUGCUUCCUACUAUAUGUGCUCUCCCUUAGGGUUUCAGGUGCUCUUGGAAUCUCACAGUUGAAAAUGAAAAAGAGGUCAUAUGAGAAACAACCAUAACUCAGAAAUGAACACAGAAGUUCAAUAGACAGGAUAAUAGGCUGUUUUGUACAUCUGAAGCAGGCAGCAAAUUCUGGUGUGAGGGAAAGAGCACGGAAGGUCAUCCCAACUAUACAUAUGCUUUCCUGGGCAAAAGAAAUGUGUGUGUUUUAUUUUGUUUUUUGUUUUUUUUAUUGGUAGGCUAAUUGAAUGCCAGGUCUCCAAGUUGGAAUCCAUCCACCUUCUCCUCGUGGCCAUAGACCACAUGGGUUGAAUGUCACCAUGCAGAGAAGUGAAACAGCUGCCACAUUCUCCUUCUUGAGGAUGCAUCCCAGAAUGGGCUGUUUCUUCCGAGAGGACAACGUAGCCUCCAAUUUGGCAGGUUUUCACUAAGGAGCCUUCAUGGUGUCACCAGCAUUUCCACCAUGCUACUGCAAGGUGAUCAUUACCAACCUCUGUGU